GACGGAGGAUGCAAGUGUUAUCCGGAAUCACUGGGCGUAAAGCGUCUGUAGGUGGUUCGAAAAGUCCACUGUUAAAAAUUGAGGCUUAACUUCAAAGAUGCCGUGGAAACUUUCAAACUAGAGUAUGGGUAGGGGUAGAGGGGAAUUUCCGAGUGGAGGCGGUGAAAUGCGUAGAUAUUGGAAAGACCACCGAUGGCGAAGGCACUCUACUGGGCCAUUACUGACACUGAGAGACGAAAGCUAGGGGAGCAAAUGGG
rnacentral:rRNA from 1 species